GACGUAGGGAGCGAGCGUUGUCCGGAUUCAUUGGGCGUAAAGAGCGCGUAGGCGGCCGUGCAAGUCGGUUGUGAAAUCCCGGGGCUCAACCCCGGGACUGCGUCCGAUACUGCACGGCUCGAGGCAGGUAGGGGAGAGUGGAAUUCCCGGUGUAGCGGUGAAAUGCGCAGAUAUCGGGAGGAACACCGGUGGCGAAGGCGGCUCUCUGGACCUGUCCUGACGCUGAGGCGCGGAAGCUAGGGGAGCGAACAGG
rnacentral:rRNA from 1 species